GCAGGCUUCCCCGUUCCGAAAGAAUAAAAGAUGGCUGCCGCCGAUCGCUCGGGCAUUGGCUACUCGCACCUGUCGGCGCGCCUUUGCGUGAGAUCGAGACGACGACGAAGAAAGGAGCACGCGCCUGGAAGCUUCAUCUGCUACGCGGGGAGAACGCCCAGCAAGAAGCCGUUUCCCUGCAAGUGCUCACUCGUCAAAGCGCCAUGAAGCGAGAGAGCGCGUACGCGCCAGGCGCCGGCCUACAGCUUCCCGUGCUCAUCAGCACUGGGGCUUGCGGCGAGGACUCCUGCGGCUUCGUCUCGCCCAUAAAGCUGGACCACUGGUGCCGGACAUCGUCUGCUCUGGCCAGCGAAGUCAUGUCCAGCUGGAAGGGGCUCCGCAGAGCGGUGCACGCCGACUGGAGCGGCAGACGACCAGCAGGACGGCAUGCGAGCAGCUGGGUCAAUGUCGAGCCUAGCUCCUUCCGGAAGCUAAACCUGCGCAAGUACAGCGGUGACGACGUCAUCGAGCGAGGAAGCUUCGUGGGUGAGCGCAGCCGUGGCGGGGUUCGGGCCACAGAAAUUCAUCGCCGGUGCUCCCAGGGUCUUCCCGUGGCGAGCCCAGCGUCGGCGUCCGUGGCUGCCGGUAUCGCAUGCUCUCCAACACAACGUCUGGCGCUGAGGAGGCGCUGGUGAAGUGCUGCAGCUGUGCUCGCGAGGAAUCUGCAGCAGCACAUCAAGCGGGGCUUGGGGUGUUGGUGCUGCCGGCCAGCAGCACCCGCACCACAAGACUUUUGAACUGUGAUUUGGUGAAUUUUUUUUCAGUCUUGAUUCUUCUUCUUUUCUAUAAUUGUAAAAUGAUGUUUAUGUGUAAGCGAAAUAUAACACGUCAUUGUGUCUAUAA